GAUGAACGCUGGCGGCGUGCCUAAUACAUGCAAGUCGAGCGAACGGACGAGAAGCUUGCUUCUCUGAUGUUAGCGGCGGACGGGUGAGUAACACGUGGAUAACCUACCUAUAAGACUGGGAUAACUUCGGGAAACCGGAGCUAAUACCGGAUAAUAUUUUGAACCGCAUGGUUCAAAAGUGAAAGACGGUCUUGCUGUCACUUAUAGAUGGAUCCGCGCUGCAUUAGCUAGUUGGUAAGGUAACGGCUUACCAAGGCAACGAUGCAUAGCCGACCUGAGAGGGUGAUCGGCCACACUGGAACUGAGACACGGUCCAGACUCCUACGGGAGGCAGCAGUAGGGAAUCUUCCGCAAUGGGCGAAAGCCUGACGGAGCAACGCCGCGUGAGUGAUGAAGGUCUUCGGAUCGCAAAACUCUGUUAUUAGGGAAGAACAUAUGUGUAAGUAACUGUGCACAUCUUGACGGUACCUAAUCAGAAAGCCACGGCUAACUACGUGCCAGCAGCCGCGGUAAUACGUAGGUGGCAAGCGUUAUCCGGAAUUAUUGGGCGUAAAGCGCGCGUAGGCGGUUUUUUAAGUCUGAUGUGAAAGCCCACGGCUCAACCGUGGAGGGUCAUUGGAAACUGGAAAACUUGAGUGCAGAAGAGGAAAGUGGAACUCCAUGUGUAGCGGUGAAAUGCGCAGAGAUAUGGAGGAACACCAGUGGCGAAGGCGACUUUCUGGUCUGUAACUGACGCUGAUGUGCGAAAGCGUGGGGAUCAAACAGGAUUAGAUACCCUGGUAGUCCACGCCGUAAACGAUGAGUGCUAAGUGUUAGGGGGUUUCCGCCCCUUAGUGCUGCAGCUAACGCAUUAAGCACUCCGCCUGGGGAGUACGACCGCAAGGUUGAAACUCAAAGGAAUUGACGGGGACCCGCACAAGCGGUGGAGCAUGUGGUUUAAUUCGAAGCAACGCGAAGAACCUUACCAAAUCUUGACAUCCUUUGACAACUCUAGAGAUAGAGCCUUCCCCUUCGGGGGACAAAGUGACAGGUGGUGCAUGGUUGUCGUCAGCUCGUGUCGUGAGAUGUUGGGUUAAGUCCCGCAACGAGCGCAACCCUUAAGCUUAGUUGCCAUCAUUAAGUUGGGCACUCUAAGUUGACUGCCGGUGACAAACCGGAGGAAGGUGGGGAUGACGUCAAAUCAUCAUGCCCCUUAUGAUUUGGGCUACACACGUGCUACAAUGGACAAUACAAAGGGCAGCGAAACCGCGAGGUCAAGCAAAUCCCAUAAAGUUGUUCUCAGUUCGGAUUGUAGUCUGCAACUCGACUACAUGAAGCUGGAAUCGCUAGUAAUCGUAGAUCAGCAUGCUACGGUGAAUACGUUCCCGGGUCU
rnacentral:rRNA from 1 species